CCCGGAAUCCGAUCGUACAUCGAGACCUUUUAAAAAUACCCGCCCUUAACAGUAUGGGCCAUGGGUGGACUGGUGGCAGUCACCAACCGACUGUAAAAUUCACCAGUCACCUAUGCAUUUCUAAAUCAAUGUUGCCAAUCUCAGUUUACCAUCAGUCAUAUUAUAUUGGCAGCAGGCAGAGAACAUUUAUCUAGCUUUUACAGUGAGAUGAAGCAAGCACAUAUCAGAUACCUAUUGGGUUGGCCUGAUUUAUGUAAUCUUCAAUCAGAUCUUUUAUUACUUAGAAAAAGAAUUUUAAUAAUUCGUCUUAAAUUUGGCAACUCUGCUUUGUUUGUUUUGAAUUAUAUUGAGGUUAGUCUGCGUUGUUGCAAGUCCAAGUUGCAAGUGCAAGUUGUCCGUAUAGAUUCGUGUAUUGGCGGUCUCUUUCGCCCUUCUUUAUAUUUUGUGUUUUUCCUAGAAUUUUUAAAUUUUUAGCAAGAGCUAUUAGUUGAUUAUUGCUGAUGUCUAUCAGUGAGGCUGACCAUGAAUUAUCAUUUGAAUUUUCGUACCAUUGGAAUUGCUCUCAUUUCUCAAGUAAUCCUAUUUACGUUCUAUUUAGAAGAAUGAAACAGCAUCAGUAGACUAAUGCCAAACAAUUUAAAUGUAUUUGCUGUAGUUUGGAUCAUCAGCUGUUAAGUAACAGCACUUCCUCUUAGACCUUUCAACUGAAUGCAACCCCCUCAGUGACGAGUCCAUCAGUGAGAGCUUCCUAAAUGCAAUUUCCUCCAUCUCCAGCCAAAAACCUUGCAGUAAAUAAUUUAAAAACAUAGCAUUCAGCUAUCAAAUUAAACAUCAGCAUCAUGGAUGACAGACCGCAACUCUCUGAGCUCCCUCACAGUUUAGGAAUUGGUACAGAGGCAUGAAAUGCAGGUCAAUGGAUUUCGCCUCCGAAGUGUGUCCUCAAUAUUUUGAAGUUGCCAUGGACUACUUGUCUCAGCACACCUAUUAUUGCUAUUUCGCUGGUCGCAAUAGCUGUCACCUGCAUCAUUCCUGUCCUGGUUUUUUACUGUUUGCUGGAUUGUCAAUAUUUGUCACUUUUUUCCUCUUUUUCGCUGCGGAAGGAACUUUAAUCAUCAUUGCAUUGGGGGUGCUGGUUGGAGUCAUUGUCAUUCUCUGCACUGUUUUGAUCAUCGGAUUGGCAACAACGGUUAUUGCUUGGUAUUUCUUCUCUCAAUUUGCUGAAUACAUUUUCAGUUCCUACGAAGAUGGUGUACCAGUUUCACCCCAAACAAAGAAGAAAUCAAAAACACUGAAAAAGCUUUAUAACUACACCGAUGAUUCUAAACUUUUAUGGUGUUGGUUAAUGGCGAAAGUGAUCGUCCUAGGAGUUACGCAACAAGCAACUGGACACAUGCAUGAUAACAAGAAACAGGAGGGUAGUAUGCUAAGGCAGCUAUUCUUUGAGCAAAAAUUUCAUGUACCAGCCAUGAUCAAUACUUAA
rnacentral:lncRNA from 1 species